AUUUAAGUAGUUUAAUUUAAAAAUAUUGAUUUGUGAUAUCAAUGAUAUAUGUAAAAGUAUCUUAAGUA
rnacentral:tRNA from 1 species